GGUUGGACGUUUUAUACGUUUUCAAGAUUCUGCUUCUUGGGUGGGAAGCC
rnacentral:ncRNA from 12 species